rnacentral:rRNA from 1 species
CGGGGGUAGCUUGCUACCUGCCGGCGAGUGGCGAACGGGUGAGUAAUACAUCGGAACGUGCCCUGUAGUGGGGGAUAACUAGUCGAAAGACUAGCUAAUACCGCAUACGACCUGAGGGUGAAAGUGGGGGACCGCAAGGCCUCAUGCUAUAGGAGCGGCCGAUGUCUGAUUAGCUAGUUGGUGGGGUAAAGGCCCACCAAGGCGACGAUCAGUAGCUGGUCUGAGAGGACGAUCAGCCACACUGGGACUGAGACACGGCCCAGACUCCUACGGGAGGCAGCAGUGGGGAAUUUUGGACAAUGGGGGCAACCCUGAUCCAGCAAUGCCGCGUGUGUGAAGAAGGCCUUCGGGUUGUAAAGCACUUUUGUCCGGAAAGAAAUCGCUUCGGUUAAUACCUGGAGUGGAUGACGGUACCGGAAGAAUAAGGACCGGCUAACUACGUGCCAGCAGCCGCGGUAAUACGUAGGGUCCAAGCGUUAAUCGGAAUUACUGGGCGUAAAGCGUGCGCAGGCGGUUGUGCAAGACCGAUGUGAAAUCCCCGGGCUUAACCUGGGAAUUGCAUUGGUGACUGCACAGCUAGAGUGUGUCAGAGGGAGGUAGAAUUCCACGU